GAACGCUGGCGGUAUGCUUAACACAUGCAAGUCGAACGGAGUACUUAGGUACUUAGUGGCGGACGGGUGAGUAACGCGUGAGAAUCUGGCUUCAGGUCGGGGACAACCACUGGAAACGGUGGCUAAUACCGGAUAUGCCGAGAGGUGAAAGGCUAGCUGCCUGAAGAUGAGCUCGCGUCUGAUUAGCUAGUUGGGAGUGUAAGAGACUACCAAGGCGACGAUCAGUAGCUGGUCUGAGAGGAUGAUCAGCCACACUGGGACUGAGACACGGCCCAGACUCCUACGGGAGGCAGCAGUGGGGAAUUUUCCGCAAUGGGCGAAAGCCUGACGGAGCAAUACCGCGUGAGGGAGGAAGGCUCUUGGGUUGUAAACCUCUUUUCUCAGGGAAGAAAAAAAUGACGGUACCUGAGGAAUAAGCAUCGGCUAACUCCGUGCCAGCAGCCGCGGUAAUACGGAGGAUGCAAGCGUUAUCCGGAAUGAUUGGGCGUAAAGCGUCCGCAGGUGGCUGUGAAAGUCUGCUGUUAAAGAAUGAGGCUCAACCUCAUACAAGCAGUGGAAACUACACGGCUAGAGUGCGUUCGGGGUAGAGGGAAUUCCUGGUGUAGCGGUGAAAUGCGUAGAUAUCAGGAAGAA
rnacentral:rRNA from 1 species